AACGCACGAGACCUGCGGACCUGCGGAGGGAUCAUUAAUGAGAAACUGCCCCUCGCGGGUAGAUCUCCCACCCUUUGUAAACUUACCUUUGUUGCUUUGGCAGGCCCGUCUCCGGACCGCCGGCUUCGGCUGGCCAGUGCCUGCCAGAGGAUUCUAAAACUCUGUCUGUCAGUGUUGUCUGAGUCUAUAUACAAUCGUUAAAACUUUCAGCAAUGGAUCUCUGGAUCGGAAGAGCACACG
rnacentral:misc_RNA from 1 species